rnacentral:rRNA from 1 species
UACGGAGGGAGCUAGCGUUAUUCGGAAUUACUGGGCGUAAAGCGUGCGCAGGCGGUUUUGUAAGUCAGAUGUGAAAUCCCCGGGCUUAACCUGGGAACUGCGUUUGAAACUACAAGGCUAGAGUGUGGCAGAGGGGGGUGGAAUUCCACGUGUAGCAGUGAAAUGCGUAGAGAUGUGGAGGAACACCGAUGGCGAAGGCAGCCCCCUGGGUUAACACUGACGCUCAGGCACGAAAGCGUGGGGAGCAAACAGG